GUGCAGCAGUCGCGAAACCUCCGCAAUGCGGGAAACCGCGACGGGGGACCCCGAGUGCCGUGGCAACGCCACGGCUUUUCCGGAGUGUAAAAAGCUCCGGGAAUAAGGGCUGGGCAAGGCCGGUGGCAGCCGCCGCGGUAAUACCGGCGGCCCGAGUGGUGGCCGCUAUUAUUGGGCCUAAAGCGUCCGUAGCCGGGCCCGUAAGUCCCUGGCGAAAUCCCACGGCUCAACCGUGGGGCUUGCUGGGGAUACUGCGGGUCUUGGGACCGGGAGAGGCGGGGGGUACCCCUGGGGUAGGGGUGAAAUCCUAUAAUCCCCAGGGGGACCGCCAGUGGCGAAGGCGCCCCGCUGGAACGGGUCCGACGGUGAGGGACGAAGGCCAGGGGGAGCAAAACCGGAUUAGAUACCCCCGUAGU
rnacentral:rRNA from 1 species